AAGCUCUUGCACCACGGGCUGCUAGGAAUACGAAGAGUUAUGUGGAUCAUGAUAGGAGCCAACCUGACAGGACCAGUAAAAGAAAAAAGAAAGGAUCUGAACCUCCAGAUAGAAGUCAAAAGCGCAGAAAAACUGAAUAUUUUGUCCCCUCAACUCCAAUAUUAGAGGGGACUACAGCUCAAGUGAGAGGCUGGUCCUAUGGAAAUCUCCCUAAGAGAGAUGCACAACGAUUUUAUCGAACUGUACGUCGGAAAUAUAUUCUGUAUCUAUUUUAAGGCUCCUCGAACUGUUGAGCCGCAAAUAAUUGACAUUAUUCAUUGUACUUGAAGGUCAUGAAGUUUGGUAACCAUAAUCAAAUUGCAUGUAUUGCGGAAGAGGUGGGUGGUGUUGUUGAAGCAGCCCCGGAGGAAGCACAGGUUGAGCUAUUUGAUGCUUUAAUUGACGGUUGUCGGGAAUCUGUUGAAACAGAAGACUUUGAAUCAAAGGUAAAACAUCUGAACUGUGAGGCUCUUUUUUUUGGUUCCACCGAAAUAAUAUCUCCAAUCUUUCCUGUUUGCUAUUUUAAUGCAGGGUCCUGUGUUGGAUUUCUUUGGUGUGCCAGUAAAAGCAAACGAACUAUUGAAACGUGUGGAAGGACUCCAGCUCUUAUCAAAGCGUAUUAGUCGAUAUGACGAUCCAAUUACACAAUUCCGGGUGUUGUCCUACCUUAAACCUUCAAAUUGGUCCAAGGGUUGCGGUUGGAAUCAGAGUACGUGCGAGAGCGUAUUCAAUAUCUGUCUCGUCUUAUGUUCUUUCAUUCUAAAUCUUGUACAUGUUUGGGGUGUUGUCAGUUGAUGAUGCGAGAUUGCUUCUGGGGAUACUUUAUCAUGGUUUUGGGAACUGGGAGAAGAUAAGAUUAGAUGAGAGCCUUGGACUUACAAAGAAGAUUGCUCCUGUUGAACUUCAACACCAUGAGACUUUUUUACCUCGUGCUCCAAACCUAAAGGAGCGUGCUACUGCUCUUCUGGAAAUGGUGAAUAUUACUUGCUUAUAAUUUAUCUUCUUUUUUUUCAAAGUGUUCUUAAUAACAUUCGUUGCAAAUAACUUUUCGCAGGAACUUUCUGCGGCAGGAGGGAAAAACACAAAUGCCAAAGCAUCACGUAAAAAUUCAAAAAAGGUUGUCAUCAAUCAAUUGAAAGCACCUGCAAGAGACCGAAAAGGGAAAUCUGGUCCUGCCAAUCUAAUAACAAUAAAAGAUGUUGGACCUCGGAGAACCCAAAAAGCUGAGCCGCUGGUGAAGGAAGAGGGAGAAAUGUCUGAUGAUGAGGAAGUUUACGAGCAGUUUAAGGAGCAGAAAUGGAUGGAAUGGUGUGAGGAUGUAUUGGCUGGUGAAAUCAAAACACUUGAACGUCUACAAAGAUUGCAAACAAUUAGUGCGGAUCUGCCAAAGGAGAAGGUUUAAUUAAUUCUCUUCUUUAUUUAAUCCACCAUCGUCCAUAGUGGUGGGCGUGCUGCGUCUUUUAUAAUCUUAAAAAAAAUUCCAUGUGUGAACCACAAAUAGGUGCUUUUCAAAAUCCGGAGAUAUUUGCAAAUCCUUGGGAGGAGAAUAGAUGAAGUUGUUUUAGAACACGAAGAGGAUUCGUACAAGCAAGAUAGUAAGUACACCUCUCUCUUGCUAUAGAUGAUAGUGGGAAGAGUCCUUUGCUUUGAUUUAAAAAUCGAAAUAUGCAGGAAUGACAAUGAGAUUGUGGAACUAUGUUUCAACUUUCUCAAAUCUGUCGGGGGAUCGACUCAAUCAGAUCUACUCCAAAUUGAAGCAGGAGAGAGAGGAAGAAGAAGGGGUUGGACCAUCGCAACUCAACGGCUCAACAGCCGGUAGGAGGCAACAAAGAUUCAAAACACCAGGACCUCCGCAAGUUCACAAGGGCAUUGACACAGCAAAAUUUGAAGCAUGGAAAAGGAGAAAAAGAACAGAAAAUAAUGAUGUUCAUCAAUCUGAGCGACCACUGAUGAGCAACAACUCUAACUCACUGGGAAUACUGGGCCCUGCACCAUCUGAUAGAAGCCAUCGGGCACGCCAAGCUGGAUUUCCGCCAAGAUAAGUUUACUCUGGUACUAGUAACCAUGCAAUAUGCUCUGAAUGUGAACUCUGGAUUCUCAGUAGUUCAAAAACAUAGAUACCCCCGGAAGAUUCAAUUUCUUUUUCCGAACACUGCAGCAAUGUUUGGUUUUCUGGUUGCUCAAAUUGGAGAUUUGCAUGCCCGACCAGCUGAUGCGGAAUGUUACAUAUAUAUGAUCUGAGAAACUCACAAAUUUUAUUAUUGAGCCAAGGGAUGAUAGUACUUCAUGCAUAGUGCUUUGCUUAGGUGAAAUAGCUGUGGAUGUUAGUCCGAACUCCAUUUCUUUUAUAUAUGUUAUUACCCUUGGAAUAGAGCAAAAUCAAACUGUACAUGACCAGUUUUGUUUAUUUUAAUUUCCAUAUCCCCUCUCUUAUAUUUCGCAUUUCGAAAGUUGGUUUCUAUGAAAAAGGGCAAUUGCGCCAUGAUUUGUAUAUUUACUUGCUCAUAUCUUUCGCUUUUGCUGAAGAAAACAAUUAGAGUAACUUUGUAAACAAGUUCUGUCGGUAUGUAAUAUGGACUGCUGGGAUAUGUUCCCAAUAUUCGUCAAGCUUAAUUGGGCUGAAAUGCUAUAAUACAUGUAAACUCUAUGAUAAGAAAAACAAGUGCGGCAAACUUGAGGCAAACUUGAGAGAUCAUUAGUGUGAUCAGAGCAGUGAAAUAGGUGGGAUAUUUGGUAAUGAAUCUGACAAUUUUGAAACUCGGAAUGCACAUCUGUUACUCUAGUCCUAUUACAGCGGUGUCUUUAUUAUUCAUCUCUUCAUAGAGAGUUUACUGCCAAAGAAGUAAAAAGCAGAAAAAGUCUAAGAUACCUUCCUUGAGCAUUUUAGUUUGGGUUUUAAGAAAAAAAUAACAUAAUUUAAAAACUUGCUAAAACCACUAGUUGUAGAAAUAUUUCUAGUUUAUCAAAAUUUUUGGUUUGCAAGAAUAUCAACAAGAUCUUGUUGUAGAAAUAUUUCUAGUUUUCGUCUUUAAUUCGGUUAGUUCGGUAUCAAAAAAAUAUUACUGAAGUUUUUGGCUUGCAACUAGCUCAGCUAAUUUUUAGUGGUUAGUUUGGUUAUUUCGAUUCGGAUUUCAGAUUAGUUUGGUUUGUUAGAAAACCAAAGUUUACCGAACUAAACCCAAUCUUCAAACCGAAUUAACCAAACACUGAAAUUUACGGACCGGUUCGGUUUAGGUAAUAACCGCAGGCCUAUUUGCGGCCAUUGUUUCAAGAAUACUCUUGUUUCAAAAACAAGUUGUGUGGCUCGGUCCCAUUUAUCUCCUUAUCUUUCCUCUUCACUUUUCCACCUCAAAUCUUCAUUAUUUUAUUCUAUUACAAUCUCCCUCCCUCAUACUUUUCAUCCUUUUGUUUUAUCCCCCAACUUUUGUCAUAGGUCAAAGCCCACCCACCCACCAUCUCACAAUUAUUCUAGAGAUGCACUAAAUAAGCAAGAAAUAUUUUUUUUUGUCAAAAAUAAGCAAGAAAUAUAAAAUGAUAAAGAGUAGAAGAGCAAAUAUGCAAAAAUUUCUGCCAGAUUUUCUUUCGAUGUUUAACUUGUAACCAUUGCUUAUAUUCUAGAACGAGCUUUCUGCAAUAUUAAGAUUUGGAGCGGAAGAACUUUUUAAAGAGGAUAAAAAUGAUGAAGAAAGCAAAAAGCGGCUGUUAAGUAUGGAUAUUGACGAAAUCCUAGAGAGGGCAGAGCAAGUAGAGGAAAAGGAUGCUGGCGAAUCAGAGCAUGAACUGUUGGGUGUUUUCAAGGCAAGUUCAUAUGUUUAUUUUUCCCUCUUUUAUUUGUUCGCCAGGAUAGCAAAGCAGCCCAAGUCUGCUUUGCAGGCUUCUUGGCAUAAUUUUUUUGAAUCUAUUUUUCAUUGCUUAUGUUUGUAAAAUAUCUUCCUCUGCUAAUUUUUCUGUGCAUUCAGGUUGCUAACUUUUGUAACGCUGAAGAUGAUGGGUCCUUUUGGAGUCGUUGGAUAAAACCUGAAUCUGUGGUCACAGCUGACGUAAAAUUUCUCUCUUCAAUAAUAAUACGACCUCCUUCCUAUGUCAUUUUUUUGUCUAAUUAUAAAUCGCCGUUUGUGUUAUCGUUUGUACAGGAAGCUCUUGCACCACGGGCUGCUAGGAAUACGAAGAGUUAUGUGGAUCAUGAUAGGAGCCAACCUGACAGGACCAGUAAAAGAAAAAAGAAAGGAUCUGAACCUCCAGAUAGAAGUCAAAAGCGCAGAAAAACUGAAUAUUUUGUCCCCUCAACUCCAAUAUUAGAGGGGACUACAGCUCAAGUGAGAGGCUGGUCCUAUGGAAAUCUCCCUAAGAGAGAUGCACAACGAUUU
rnacentral:lncRNA from 1 species